CUGAAGAUGAGUGUUGGCGUCUUCCCAGAAGGUGGAGCGUCAGCUGGCUGGAGGCGUCUUGACGAGGAGAUCCAGGAGCGAAGCACGAGUGACCAGAGGACUGCGACCAGGAGCAAGGAUAGGUCAGACUAAGCACCAUGGGAGGAACAACGAACUGGCGUCGGCUGAAGAUCCACAGACUCCUUAAGAAGGCUGCAGCAGUGAUGAGGUGAGUGAGAACAGCUGGUCGCGUCAAAGGCAGAGAAGGUGGGGGAGGGAGAGAGUAACUGACAGGCCACCAUGACACCAGCUGCAGAGUUCAAACACAAAAAAACUCAAAAAAGAAAACCCGACAUGUGGAUGGAAAUGUAGACGGAAUCAAAGAAGGGAAUUCCAGGCAGAAUUCAGCCGGCUGACGAGACUCUUUGUGUUUUAAGACGAGAAAGCAGGAGAAAUUAAAUCUGACAGCAGGAUCGUGUCUGAACUCAUUAGAGGACCAGAGCUGGUGUUUCAGACGCCGUUACGGUGAACGUUGAAAAGUUACCAACACGUUUCAGAUGCUUUCCUGACUGUACUCUAAACUCCACAGCGUUCUGAAAGAGCCGCAGAUAAGAAACUGAUACAACCGUUGGAAACCAUUUUAGGGUAAUACAACUUCUUGUUCUAGUGCGAAGGAGAGCCGCCCUGGUCUGCAGCCAGAUGUUCCGACACCGUUGGAGGUGGAGCUGGACCGAGGGCACUGCCAGAUCCAAUUCCUGAGAAGGAAACAAAGGGGGUGAGUAACCCAACUAUGCCUCAAAAGGAGAUAUGCCCGUGGCGGUGGAAGAAUGGGAAUUGUGGGCAUAUUCCACCCACACCAGGUACUUGGACCAGUCAGCUUGAUUCUGGGCUGCCAGACACCUGAGAGCCGCUUCCAGUUCUUGGUUCGCCCGUUCUGCCUGUCCAUUAGAUUGGGGGUGGUAGCCCGAUGUGAGGCUCACGGUGGCUCCCAGGGCGGAACAGAAAGCCCUCCAAACUUGCGACGUAAACUGAGGUCCACGAUCAGACACUAUGUCGCUGGGAAUUCCAUGAUGACGAAAAA